AUAGUGAAGUUAUGAUAUGAGAAGCACCAACUUGGCACAAGACUUGGGAAAGGCAAUGAGGCAGCAGGCAAGCUUUAAGGGAUGACACUUACCUUGAGGGAGCAAGGACAAGUUGUGACCUUCCCAGUCCUCUCUCCAUUUGCAGAUCAGCAAGCUUCUGUCAGCAAGGAGGGGUGGACAAUGAAACUGGGUUCAGCUUGAUUUGUUUUUUGAGACAGGUAUGGCAAGGGGCUGCCAACAAGAUCAAGCUGCAGAGGAAACAGCCACCUGGGGCGUGUUCUUACGUUGCCUGGAAGCUGCACAAGAGGCCAAGUCAAAACAUGCAGAAUUCCAGUUGCCCAUGAUGUCACAGGCUGAGGCCCACACUCCAGAGACACUGUGGACUGACUGGCACCUAUGAGCUGACCUAAUAACAGUUACACCAUUACAGCUCCGAUUCUACAGAACAAUACAUAUCCAGUUCUUA
rnacentral:lncRNA from 1 species